UCCCACCACCCCCUUUUUUGGCAGUUUCGAUUUUAGGGUUUCACAAAAUCGAAACUUUUGUCCGCCUCCAUUUAGCAGGAUCCAUCGACGAAAUUUUUUAUUCUCCCGCUUCUCUCUAUCUCCCUCCUUGAUUCGUUUUCCCUCUUCUCUCUCAUUGUUUCCUACUCGCACCUCUCCCUUACACCCCCUCUCGUCUUCGUUUUCAUUGUCGGAGUUCCAUCUUACCGCCGAUGCGGUCAAUGUUGUACAUAGAGACUCUUUUAGCCCCGGUCAUCUCUCUUCGCCAUCACCAAAUCCGUAUAUCUUCAUCACCGAUUCAUCGUCCCCCUUUUUAGCUCCGGUCGUUUGCGUUUCGUCGCCGUCAUCGGCUUGCCAUCGCCAUUGUCAUCAUUGUUUCAAUUCGAUGCCUUCUUCAAACUAUUGAUGCCUUUUCAAACUCCUCUGUUCCAUUUGUUAUCAAGGCGACCAAGGUUAUUACUCCAUGGCUCAAUUGCCCUCAUCUCUCUCUUUGCACCUUUGCUCGAUUUCUUCCCUAAAAAGGUAAAACCCUAGUUUUUUUUUUUCUUUUCUUUUCUGAAGUUACUUCAUGUAUACAAUUUAGAUGUUUAAUUCAUUGAUAAUUCUGGUUUGUUUUGUUGAAUGUGAGGUUUUAAAUUAUAUUUUAGGUCGAAUUUGAGAUUUUAGGUUAAAUUUUGGUUGAAAAUGUUAGAGUUGUGGUAAAGUUCAACAGUAAUGUUUGGGAUUUCCUAAUUCAAUAGGUUCGGAAAGCUGGUGAUCCAGGUAAUCACAGUUUUGCAAUCUUCCCUACGGUGAUUAUCCUACUGUGGCUUCUACAUGAGAAUGAAGUUUUUGAUCUUGUGUAUGACAGGUCCGUCAACAGUAAUUUUUAGAAUUAAACUAGGUUUAGCAGUUGGAAAUCAACUUGGUUUGGUAAGAGAUGAUUCUAUAUUAUAUAUUUAAUUACUUAUCUUUUGUUUUUAAUGUAUAUUUGCUUACUUGACCUAGUUGCAUAAAUGUUUGAGUUUGCAGAUCUGUGUAUUUGAAUUCCAGUUCAAAAGAUACAAUCCUACACAUUGUCACAACAAUAAAACAAGAAAGUACGUUUUGUGUUAGGUAUAUGUUUCUUUAUUUUAGUAAUGUUUAAAUUGUUUUCGGUUUACAAACAAGCUGAAAAGGUGAGCUCAAGUGUUGUGUGUGUUUCCACUUUCUUGAUUCCCCUGUUGAAGCAAUUCAAUAUAUGGACCAUGGAGCUACUAGCUAUUUUGGAACAAUUGAAUUUGUAAACAUGUAGUGUUUGUUUUUUUAAUUAAUUAAUAUUUACUUUUGUAAGAUAUUUUGAACAAUGGAAUGAAAUGUGUCAAAGUUGGUAUUA